CAGUAGCCGCGGGAAUACAGAGGGUGCGAGCGUUAAUCGGAUUUACUGGGCGUAAAGCGUGCGUAGGCGGCUUCUUAAGUCGGAUGUGAAAUCCCUGAGCUUAACUUAGGAAUUGCAUUCGAUACUGGGAAGCUAGAGUAUGGGAGAGGAUGGUAGAAUUCCAGGUGUAGCGGUGAAAUGCGUAGAGAUCUGGAGGAAUACCGAUGGCGAAGGCAGCCAUCUGGCCUAAUACUGACGCUGAGGUACGAAAGCAUGGGGAGCAAACAGGAUUAGAUACCCCGUAGUCCCUGUCUCUUAUACA
rnacentral:rRNA from 1 species